GAAAGGCCCUGAGCAGAGAGGGCAGCACCUCUAGAAGCUGGAAAAGGUGAAGAAACAACUCUGCUUCCAGAAGGAAAGCAAUCCUCCCUCAGGUAUGACUCAAUGAAGGAUCUUGAGACACUUCCUCUGUACUUCCCUGACCCAGCUGACUGCCCUAAGAACCCGAGGCCUGGGCUGUGUCCCCAGGCUCCUAGCUGGCUGGCUUCCAGGGCUUCCCACAGGCAAAGCAAGGCACAAAAUUCGCAGAAUUUAGUGCAAAAUGAAAAUAUUGGACCCCUUUUUCAUAAAGCAAGGAAAUGAAUGUGG